AGUGAACGCUGGCGGUAGGCCUAACACAUGCAAGUCGAACGGCAGCACAGUAAGAGCUUGCUCUUACGGGUGGCGAGUGGCGGACGGGUGAGGAAUACAUCGGAAUCUACUUUUUCGUGGGGGAUAACGUAGGGAAACUUACGCUAAUACCGCAUACGACCUACGGGUGAAAGCAGGGGAUCUUCGGACCUUGCGCGAUUGAAUGAGCCGAUGUCGGAUUAGCUAGUUGGCGGGGUAAAGGCCCACCAAGGCGACGAUCCGUAGCUGGUCUGAGAGGAUGAUCAGCCACACUGGAACUGAGACACGGUCCAGACUCCUACGGGAGGCAGCAGUGGGGAAUAUUGGACAAUGGGCGCAAGCCUGAUCCAGCCACACCGCGUGGGUGAAGAAGGCCUUCGGGUUAUAAAGCCCUUUUGUUGGGAAAGAAAAGCAGCAGGUUAAUACCCCGCUGUUCUGACGGUACCCAAAGAAUAAGCACCGGCUAACUUCGUG
rnacentral:rRNA from 1 species